CUUGCGUUCAGUGGCCGCUGGUGCAGCAGGUUCGGUUGAGCGCCUAGCUUUAUAGUCAGUGUAGGGUUCACCAUCACACUCAGUCGCUGCAGCCAGGCAGCCAGGCGGAGAGGGAGCUCCGCUCUCUGCAAACUACACACAGAAACCUGGGGAUGCAGCUCCAUCCAAGAGGACACUACUCACUGGAGCUGGAAGGAAGACAGCCAGGGACAAUAGCAACAGCUGCCGACUGCUCCUGACUGAACAUCUAGAACGAUUUUUACCCAGAAUCUUUGGACCUUUGUGUAUGCAUUUACCACCAUCCCAGAUGUGACAACACUCGUAGGAUUAUUGGAAUCCACCAGAUGGCUGGAUAUGUGGAUUUCUUUUCAAGAUGAUGGAUUAUUUUGACCUCUUUCUUUUCUUUCCUCGCUGCCCCACACACACACACACACACACACACACUUGGAUGCUCCCUUGCACGUUUGGGAACACUGAUGCGAUAUUGAGUUAAGAUGAUGGGAAUCACUGAUUCAAAGCACUUGCAUCUCACAAGGGACUAUUGGCUCUGCUGAUGGAAAAUUAUUGCGGGACUUUGCUCGGAUUGUUGGGAGUUGGACCGUUUUCAUUUGGAGGUGUUUUGGGGUGUAUUCUUGUAUCAGAAACAUGGAAAUAUCAUGGUCAGGAUCAUCAAGCGUGGAGAUGUGCAUUGUGGUUUCUAUCUGGAAUUAUGCGGAUGGCUGUUAGGAAAUUAUUCCCCUCUUUUUUUUUCCCCCCCCCAAAAAAAAACCUGGAAUAUGUUGCACGCUUUUGGAAUGCCCUUGCCAUAUGGAUUAACUUCGCCAUUGAGUGGGAUAGAUGGAACUCCGAGGAUAUUAUAUCCAGAUGAUGUAUUGAAGACCCUGGGAUGUAUUAGAGGAGGCGAUGUGGAUUUAAUUCUCAGUAGAAUAAUGUGGAUUGUUACUACGUUUUGCUUUGGCGUUGUUUAAAAGGUAUAUUUCUGCAUGACCUCAAAUAAAGUGACCGAACACACCAGAUGAUAUGGGUCCUUCCCAAUCUUUGCUAUGCUUUUUCCUCACCUCAGCCCUACUGUAUUGGCUACGCGAAGCUGAUAGGAGACCACAAAGGUAUUGCCCUGUGAGACAGAUGGUACUAAACUCAUGUAAUAAUAAUCAUAAACCGUGAGAAGGUUAGUAACAGGUUUUAAAAUGUCAUAGACAGACUUAUGAGAUGGGAAGACACAUGUUAGAUGACGUUUCACACAGCUAAGUGUGAAGUGAUUCAUUUCAGAAGGAGGAAUGAGAAGAGGAAAUCAAAUCUAAAUGGCAUAAUUUAAAAAUGGGUGUGGAAAGAGAGAGAACAUGCAAAAGCCAGGACAAACUAAGGAACUUUUCAAAAAAAAAAUCAGGAAGACAGAAAGUGCAAAUGGAAGUUAUGCCAAACCUUUAUAAAUCAUGGCAUAGUUUCCAACUGAAAUGUUGUGCUAAAUUCUGAAUAUCACAGUUUUGGACAGACGUCAAGGCCUUGGAAAGGAAACAAAAGGAGAGCCAGGACAAUGGUACCACAGGUGUGCGACUUCAGUUGUGUGGAGAGAAAUGAGAGGCUUGGAUUGUUCUUGGAACAGAGAAAGUGAAGGAGUUAUUCAAAGUAUUCAAAGUCAAAAAAGGGGUUUGGAAGUGCAAGCUGGU